rnacentral:rRNA from 1 species
GAUGAACGCUGGCGGCGCGCCUAAUCCAUGCAAGUCGAGCGAACGGACGAGAAGCUCGCUUCGUUGCUGUUAGCGGCGGACGGGUGAGUAACACGUGGAUUGUCCUCUACUAAGUCUGGGAGCACUUCGGGAAACCGGAGCUACUACUGCAUAAUACGUUGAACCGCAGGGUUCAAAAGUGCAUCACGGUUUUGGUGUCUCUUAUAGCUGGUUCCGCGCUGCAUUAGCUAGUUGGUAAGGUAACGGCUUACCAAGGCGACGAUGCGUAGCCGACCUGAGAGGAUGAUCGGCCACACUGGAACUGAGACACGGUCCAGACUCCUACGGGAGGCAGCAGUGGGGAAUCUUCCGCAAUGGGCGAAAGCCUGACGGAGCAACGCCGCGUGAGUGAAGAAGGUCUUCGGGUCGUAAAGCUCUUUUGUUAGGAAAGAACAGCUGUGUAAGAAACUGUCCGCAUCUUGACGGUACCUAAAGAAUAAGCAACGGCUAACUACGUG